GAAGAUCUUCCUCUUACUAGUGUGAUGACUCUUAUAUUACGAAGAGUGAGGCUUUGCUAUGAAGAACAAUUAUUCUUAACUAGUUUGUCUUUGCAGGCAAAUGGAUGGAACUAGAAAUGUCAUCCUGAAUCAGGUAACUCGGACCCAAAAGGACAUGCAAGAAUUGUUCCUGUCUAAAAGAACUGCAGAAGAGACUGAAGGAAGAAGAGCAGUCCAGUAACCAGCCCAACUUGCGAUCCAUCUCAUGGGGGACGUUCACCCAGUGGAAUACUUAUUCCAAUGCAGAUCCACACUGUGAACUCUAGCUGGCUGCCCCAAUGAAGCAAGCCUCUCUACUGGAUUUCUUCUGGAUGUUUCUAAGGCUCCGAUUUGAUGAGGCAACUUUCUGCCUAUUCAUUCAACUGGACUGCUAACGUCAUCUUUGACAGAUGUCCUGAGUGCCUGUGGGCCAUGUCUCCCUGUGGUUCUGCUCUUCUGUGAGCUACUACUUACUAUUUGUGCUUUUACUUUUGCUCACAGUAUACUUAAUAA